GAUGAACGCUGGCGGCGUGCCUAAUACAUGCAAGUCGAGCGAACGGACGAGAAGCUUGCUUCUCUGAUGUUAGCGGCGGACGGGUGAGUAACACGUGGAUAACCUACCUAUAAGACUGGGAUAACUUCGGGAAACCGGAGCUAAUACCGGAUAAUAUUUUGAACCGCAUGGUUCAAAAGUGAAAGACGGUCUUGCUGUCACUUAUAGAUGGAUCCGCGCUGCAUUAGCUAGUUGGUAAGGUAACGGCUUACCAAGGCAACGAUGCAUAGCCGACCUGAGAGGGUGAUCGGCCACACUGGAACUGAGACACGGUCCAGACUCCUACGGGAGGCAGCAGUAGGGAAUCUUCCGCAAUGGGCGAAAGCCUGACGGAGCAACGCCGCGUGAGUGAUGAAGGUCUUCGGAUCGUAAAACUCUGUUAUUAGGGAAGAACAUAUGUGUAAGUAACUGUGCACAUCUUGACGGUACCUAAUCAGAAAGCCACGGCUAACUACGUGCCAGCAGCCGCGGUAAUACGUAGGUGGCAAGCGUUAUCCGGAAUUAUUGGGCGCAAAGCGCGCGUAGGCGGUUUUUUAAGUCUGAUGUGAAAGCCCACGGCUCAACCGUGGAGGGUCAUUGGAAACUGGAAAACUUGAGUGCAGAAGAGGAAAGUGGAAUUCCAUGUGUAGCGGUGAAAUGUGCAGAGAUAUGGAGGAACACCAGUGGCGAAGGCGACUUUCUGGUCUGUAACUGACGCUGAUGUGCGAAAGCGUGGGGAUCAAACAGGAUUAGAUACCCUGGUAGUCCACGCCGUAAACGAUGAGUGCUAAGUGUUAGGGGGUUUCCGCCCCUUAGUGCUGCAGCUAACGCAUUAAGCACUCCGCCUGGGGAGUACGACCGCAAGGUUGAAACUCAAAGGAAUUGACGGGGACCCGCACAAGCGGUGGAGCAUGUGGUUUAAUUCGAAGCAACGCGAAGAACCUUACCAAAUCUUGACAUCCUUUGACAACUCUAGAGAUAGAGCCUUCCCCUUCGGGGGACAAAGUGACAGGUGGUGCAUGGUUGUCGUCAGCUCGUGUCGUGAGAUGUUGGGUUAAGUCCCGCAACGAGCGCAACCCUUAAGCUUAGUUGCCAUCAUUAAGUUGGGCACUCUAAGUUGACUGCCGGUGACAAACCGGAGGAAGGUGGGGAUGACGUCAAAUCAUCAUGCCCCUUAUGAUUUGGGCUACACACGUGCUACAAUGGACAAUACAAAGGGCAGCGAAACCGCGAGGUCAAGCAAAUCCCAUAAAGUUGUUCUCAGUUCGGAUUGUAGUCUGCAACUCGACUACAUGAAGCUGGAAUCGCUAGUAAUCGUAGAUCAGCAUGCUACGGUGAAUACGUUCCCGGGUCU
rnacentral:rRNA from 1 species